rnacentral:rRNA from 1 species
UACGGUGGGGGCAAGCGUUGUUCGGAAUUACUGGGCGUAAAGGGCGCGUAGGCGGCCUGCUAAGUCGGAUGUGAAAUCCCUCGGCUCAACCGAGGAACUGCAUCCGAUACUGGCGGGCUUGAAUCCGGGAGAGGGAUGUGGAAUUCCCGGUGUAGCGGUGAAAUGCGUAGAUAUCUGGAGGAACACCGGUGGCGAAGGCGGCAUCCUGGACCGGUAUUGACGCUGAGGUGCGAAAGCGUGGGGAGCAAACAGG